rnacentral:misc_RNA from 1 species
UAGUGUUAUAAUAGUAAAUAUAUUAUUAAGUUAUGUCUAGAGGAGACUGAAAGGGACUAACUAAUAUAUUUACUUAUUAAGCGUUACUUAUUACGCGUUUGCAUAAGUAGGAAAGUGAUCCAACAAGUGGUGCAAAUCAACAGAUCAUCGAAUGGGAAUCAAAGGCUGCAUAAUAGAUCUCUGAAUGCAACUGAUUAACUAACACUUUGCAACACUGAACCAUUGGGCCAUUAGGUACCAAAAUAUUACCAUGCGGAUGCUAAGCAAUCAACUUGGAGAAAAAGAAAAGAAGGAAAAGAAGGAAAGAAAAAAGACUGAUUUAAUGAUCAGUGCACUCA